GUGCUCGCUUUGGCAGCACAUAUACUAAAGUUGGAACAAUACAGAGAAGAUUAACACGGCCCCUGCACAAGGAUGACACGCAAAUUCGUGAAGCGUUCCAUAUUUAA
rnacentral:snRNA from 1 species